rnacentral:rRNA from 1 species
UACGUAGGUGGCAAGCGUUGUCCGGAUUUACUGGGCGUAAAGAGCGCGCAGGCGGUCGUUCAAGUCGCGUGUGAAAGCCCCCGGCUCAACUGGGGAGGGUCACGCGAUACUGAUCGACUCGAAGGCAGGAGAGGGAAGUGGAAUUCCCGGUGUAGUGGUGAAAUGCGUAGAUAUCGGGAAGAACACCCGUGGCGAAGGCGGCUCUCUGGGACGUGACUGACGCUGAGACGCGAAAGCGUGGGGAGCGAACAGG